ensembl:lncRNA
GGGGGAGCGAGCGCGUAAAGGAGGAGGAGGAGCGAAGAGAGAGAGUGCAAACAAUGUCAUUCUGUUCAGGAGGCAAUGCUGCAGUCAACUUUGCAGCGCCAUGAAGGCACAUCACCAGCGACCAGGAGGCGCAGAGUGAGUGCAGAGAAGUUUUCCUCCUCUCCGCCCCGAGUGUGCGAUGCCAUCCGAGACUCACCUGAGCAGGAUAACACACCCGGUCCAGCUGUUGGUGGCGUGUUGGAACAUGCCUUGACUUGUUGCACUGCCUGGGUGAAGCACAGGGGCCACAGUCCCAGGAAGAGAGGGAAGCGGCUCCUGGUCAACAGUGUGCCAGGGUGGAGUGACCCACACCGAGACCUGCUGCACCUGUGGACAGAGCGUGGAUGGAGGAGCUGCUUAGAGCUUCAAGCUGUUGGCGUAAGACCCCGUGCCCCCCCCCCCCCCCCCCCGGGCGUUCAGCGUGAGGCCUUAGCCUUCCAACAACCACCAGGAAGCCGGGCACGGGAAGUGUGAGCAUCCGCAGUGCCAGACUUACGGGUGGAGGUGUUCCUACGUGUGUGAAGAGGAUGUAGGAAUUAACCAGAGCUGAGGACCUGAUACAGAAUGGGCUGAGGAAAGAUCACCCGAGCACAUGACCUCUGCAUGUUUACAUUUGAAUUAAAGCAUCAAACUCAUACUUGCUAUCCACUUACAGUCCUCUGCUGCCAUCGUGUGAUAGAAAUGGACAUUUUUAGCAUGUUUUUUUGUUCAUUUAACACUGCAGCAGUCUGUAAAAAAUGACAUUGACAUUGAUCUAAAAUCCCAUAUAUUUAGAUAAUAUGGCUUGGUUUAACAUGACUUCAGGUUCCAACUUUUCAGCUGCAACUGCAUG